AUGGCGCCAAAGAGGAAAGCUCCUGCCAAGAAUCCCACUUCUAAGGCAAAGCGUCCUACCUCAAGCAAUCGGGAGUCGCGUAAGGAGGAUUCUGAUCCUAAAACCAUGUCUCAAUUAUUUAAUGCUUUCAGGUGUUUUAUAGAUGAUUUUGAACAACGUAUUGCUAACCGUUCGCCAAGGUCCUCCCCUUCUCCUAGUUUUAUUCCUGACACGGCGCCUGAUCCCUCAUCCCUCGAUGGUGAGCUGCCUGGCACAUCUGCGUCAUUAUUUAACGAAUCCCAAUUCGCAAGUCCAAGUACGCAGGCUAUGUUGUCAGCUAAUCAACCUCCACAGACUCGUGCAAGGUCCCGAAUGGCCCACACCUUGUCAGCAGCAACACGUGCUUCAGGUCGGUCGGCUUCUGCUCCACCCAAUAACAUGUCUAUGUCUCAGUCUUCUUCUAGUCUUCUUCAGAGCUCUCAGCCAGGGGUUCAGCUUCCUGAGUCUGACAUCUCUGAUGGUGAGGAGUUGCAGCUUCAGGCAUCAGACAAGCAACAGCCCACCACAACAGAUAAGCCAGCAGGGAAGAGACGCUCCAAGAAGAAACACGUUUACGAGAAGUCUAGAUCGCGGGAUACGGAUGAGGAGUCAGAUGAACUGCUUCCACUUAGCAUCUUCGGCCCAGCAGCUGCCGGAACCUUUCUCGGACCACCUCUGGAGCAUUGGAAAUGCGAAGUUAUCAAGGGAGUAUUAGCCUCACUGGAACCUUCUACUCUCAGGUUGUAUAAGAAAGCCUGGUGCGAUUUCCUGGAUUUCAGAUCCAAGGUUUCAGCUCUGGCCCCCAAUAUCCCGCCCACUACUGAUCACGUGUUACAUUACCUAGCGCACCUGCAUAUGUUGGGACUUGCAGCAGAAACCAUAAGAAUUCAUUCGGCUGCCAUCAGCUUUUUUAGCCAAUUUAUAUUCUCAGCUGACCCUUGUGCUGAUUUUAUCGUUCAUAUGGCAAUUAAGGGCUGGGGCAGACUCCAACCUGCAAAAGGAAAGCCGAUAACAUUUGAUCUCUUCUGCCUGAUACGCCAGAAACUUAGGUCAAUAUGUUGGUCAAAAUAUGAAGCACGUUUGUUUUCCGCGGCAUUCUCCAUUGCCGCCUUCGGAGCCCUGAGCGUUGGCGAGGUUGUGUUUGAGGCCCAGCCAGAUGGUUCCUCUUGUGGCCUCCACUUAAAUGACAUACAAUUAUCUGACUCUGAGUUAAUAAUAUGCAUUCAGCGGUCAAAAACUGACCAACAGGGAAAAGGUGUCCCAAUCAGACUUUCUGCUUAUGAAAACCAGGGUCCAUGCCCAGUAAAAGACACUAGGCGGUACUUAUAUCUUAGACCACCUGGCCGUGGCCCUUUACUCAUACACGAGGAUGGUUCCUGCUUGAAGAGGCAUCAGUUCACGCAAGUAUUGCGCAAAGCGAUUGAUGCCUGUGGUUUCCCUGCAGAGGAAUAUGCUGCCGACUCUUUCAGGAUUGGGGCCGCCGCAAUGGCUGGCCCUUUAGGCCACCCAACAAAUAGAAUCAGGAAUGCAUUGAAAUGGUACAUAUGA
rnacentral:lncRNA from 1 species